GAUGAACGCUUGCUACAGGCUUAACACAUGCAAGUCGAGGGGCAGCAUGGUCUUAGCUUGCUAAGGCCGAUGGCGACCGGCGCACGGGUGAGUAACACGUAUCCAACCUGCCGUCUACUCUUGGACAGCCUUCUGAAAGGAAGAUUAAUACAAGAUGGCAUCAUGAGUCCGCAUGUUCACAUGAUUAAAGGUAUUCCGGUAGACGAUGGGGAUGCGUUCCAUUAGAUAGUAGGCGGGGUAACGGCCCACCUAGUCUUCGAUGGAUAGGGGUUCUGAGAGGAAGGUCCCCCACAUUGGAACUGAGACACGGUCCAAACUCCUACGGGAGGCAGCAGUGAGGAAUAUUGGUCAAUGGGCGAGAGCCUGAACCAGCCAAGUAGCGUGAAGGAUGACUGCCCUAUGGGUUGUAAACUUCUUUUAUAAAGGAAUAAAGUCGGGUAUGCAUACCCGUUUGCAUGUACUUUAUGAAUAAGGAUCGGCUAACUCCGUGCCAGCAGCCGCGGUAAUACGGAGGAUCCGAGCGUUAUCCGGAUUUAUUGGGUUUAAAGGGAGCGUAGAUGGAUGUUUAAGUCAGUUGUGAAAGUUUGCGGCUCAACCGUAAAAUUGCAGUUGAUACUGGAUAUCUUGAGUGCAGUUGAGGCAGGCGGAAUUCGUGGUGUAGCGGUGAAAUGCUUAGAUAUCACGAAGAACUCCGAUUGCGAAGGCAGCCUGCUAAGCUGCAACUGACAUUGAGGCUCGAAAGUGUGGGUAUCAAACAGGAUUAGAUACCCUGGUAGUCCACACGGUAAACGAUGAAUACUCGCUGUUUGCGAUAUACAGCAAGCGGCCAAGCGAAAGCGUUAAGUAUUCCACCUGGGGAGUACGCCGGCAACGGUGAAACUCAAAGGAAUUGACGGGGGCCCGCACAAGCGGAGGAACAUGUGGUUUAAUUCGAUGAUACGCGAGGAACCUUACCCGGGCUUAAAUUGCAGAUGAAUUACGGUGAAAGCCGUAAGCCGCAAGGCAUCUGUGAAGGUGCUGCAUGGUUGUCGUCAGCUCGUGCCGUGAGGUGUCGGCUUAAGUGCCAUAACGAGCGCAACCCUUGUUGUCAGUUACUAACAGGUUCCGCUGAGGACUCUGACAAGACUGCCAUCGUAAGAUGUGAGGAAGGUGGGGAUGACGUCAAAUCAGCACGGCCCUUACGUCCGGGGCUACACACGUGUUACAAUGGGGGGUACAGAGGGCCGCUACCACGCGAGUGGAUGCCAAUCCCAAAAACCUCUCUCAGUUCGGACUGGAGUCUGCAACCCGACUCCACGAAGCUGGAUUCGCUAGUAAUCGCGCAUCAGCCACGGCGCGGUGAAUACGUUCCCGGGCCUUGUACACACCGCCCGUCAAGCCAUGGGAGCCGGGGGUACCUGAAGUGCGUAACCGCGAGGAGCGCCCUAGGGUAAAACUGGUGACUGGGGCUAAGU
rnacentral:rRNA from 1 species